ACUUAAAUAGCUUAAAAAGAGCAUAAUAUUGAAGAUAUUAAGGUGAUUAGGGUCUUUAAGUA
rnacentral:tRNA from 1 species